rnacentral:misc_RNA from 1 species
UUUUCGUAGGUGAACCUGCGGAAGGAUCAUUACAGAGUACUCCCUCGGGAGCAUCUCCACCCUGUGCGAACCAACUUAGUUGCUUUGGCGGGCCGCGCUUCGCCGCCGGCUCAGCUGGCGAGUGCCCGCCAGAGGCUUUUUACAUUCUGUUUACAUGAGUCUGAGCGAGAAAUUAAUAGCGAAAAACUUUCAACAACGGAUCUCUUGGUUCUGGCAUCGAUGAAGAACGCAGC